rnacentral:misc_RNA from 1 species
GAUGAAGAACGUAGCGAAAUGCGAUAAGUAAUGUGAAUUGCAGAAUUCAGUGAAUCAUCGAAUCUUUGAACGCACAUUGCGCCCGCCAGGAUUCUGGCGGGCAUGCCUGUCCGAGCGUCAUUUCAACCCUCGAACCCCUCCGGGGGGUCGGCGUUGGGGACCUCGGGAGCCCCUAAGACGGGAUCCCGGCCCCGAAAUACAGUGGCGGUCUCGCCGCAGCCUCUCCUGCGCAGUAGUUUGCACAACUCGCACCGGGAGCGCGGCGCGUCCACGUCCGUAAAACACCCAACUUCUGAAAUGUUGACCUCGGAUCAGGUAGGAAUACCCGCUGAACUUAAGCAUAUCAAUAAGCGGAGGA